UCUAGCGGAACCGGGGGGACAUAUUUAAAUCCUUUUCUCUUCGGAUCACUCCUAUUUUCUCUCUUUCAUCUCCCUCUUACUCUCCACUCUCGCUCUACUCUUCUCUCUACCCUCUCCUCCGGCCACCCAUGUUCUUCCCUACCAUCCCUCAAACCGCCCUUAUCCUCAGUUUUUCGGUUAACCUUCAACCGAAAAACUCAUCCCCAAGAACCCUAAUACAAAGCCUACCCAGAAAAUCUCACCAACAAAGAACCCUAACCUGGGUCCGCGGUGAACGCUAAUCCUAUAACCUGGGAAGCGAAGAACCCUAGGGUUCAUCUAAUGAACUCUAACCCUAACUGCGAUGAACCCUAACCCUAAAAGUUACCCAGAAACCCACAUCGAACCCCAAAUCUCAUUAAUCCAAUAUUGAAACAUGAACAUGCAAAUUUUGAAAUGAAGAGAAGGCAAAGGUAAGUUAAAUCCAACCAACCUACGGAGAUGAGAGGUUCUCCAGUAAGCAGGUAAUCUCUUCGAUUCUCUUCUUCCUCUUUUGAUCCGGUUUAUCCUUCUUCCUCUUUUAACUUCUUCUCUCUGUUUUUUUUGUACGAUGUACAAAUGAUAGAGUCUAGCUCAGAAGAGUCAGGGUUUCAAUGUGAAACCCUAAUCUUAAGUUUGAUUCGAGCUUUGAUAAAGGGUUUGGAUUUGCAACAACAAAGGAUUUCUGUUUUGGGUUUUUCUCCCCUGUUUUUUGUUUAAUCCUUAGGCUUAUAUAGAUUCAUUUCAGGUUAAGGUUUUUAAUUAUAUUGAUUUAGUUAGGAAUUUUAGGAUUUGAUUUGUAUUAGCAAUCAGGUUUUCAGAUUUUUUCUGAAAAUAGAUUUUACGUUUGAAAUGUAACAGAUUAUUUGAUGCAUGUAGUCUUGAUUCGAUUUGUAAUUCAUGAUUCCAGUAAAAAUGAAAAGCUUGGAUUCAAUUGUGUUUACUGUUUGAUUAUUCAUUAUGUGCGUGACAUCAGGGGUUUGAUUGGGGAAGAAGAUGAACAGGGUUUUGGGUCAAUAUCUAGACCCGGUUGGAUGAUGGGUUUGGGUUACGCUUGACCCAACUAAAAUGUGGACUUCGAUCACACUUGACCCAAUUGAAAAAGGCCCGAUUUGGGCUAACUCAAACAAAUGUAAUUGAGACCCAAUAACAAUAACUCAGGAUACAUAAAAAUAAAUAAAUAAAAAAGAAUAAAAUAUGAUUAAAUAAUAACUUAAUUCUAAUAAUUCAUUAAUAAUAUUAAUAUUCUAAUACUUUAACUUUAAAAAUAUUGAUGAUAAUAUCUCUAAUAAUGAUAAAUAAUAAUAAGAAAUAAUAAUAUUGAUAAACAAUAAUAACAUUAAUAAAUAAUAAUAACAUUAAUAACUAACCAUGAUAAUUUAUUUUUAAUAAUAUUGAUAAUAUUCCUAAUAAUAAUAAGUAAUACUAAUAAUAGUGAUAAUAAGUAAUAGGCUUAAAUGCACUUUUGUUCUAUGUAAGUUAGCGAGUUUUUGAUUUUGGUUCCUGUAAUUUUUUUUUUGUAUGAGUCCCUAUAUCUCACUUUUUAUGUUGGUUUUAGUCCAUAAAGUCAAAAUCCGCAGUUUUCCUGCGAAUUUUUCUUUUAGGGACUAAAAACAAUACAAAAGUGAGACAUAGGGACUCAGACAAUUUUUUUUACAGAAAACAAAAUCAAAAACUCGCUAACUUAAAUAAAACAAAAGACUAUUCAAGUCUAAAUAAUAUUAAUAAAUAUUAAUAAUAUUAAUACUUUAAUUACGUCACUUAAUUAAAAAGUCUUAAUAUAAUAAUUUGAUAAAAUAAUUUUAACCCUAAUUUAUCUCAAUAUUAAUGUAUCUCGAAUAAUAACGUUAACCCCAAUUAACCACUCCUAUAUACAUCUAGAAUAAUAAUAUAUUAAAUUAUACCCCUAAAUCAAAAUCUAGUUCCUAUGAGGAAUUAAAAGUCAAAAUGAUAUUCCUUUGACUUUUUAGGUCAUUGGAGUUGACUAGAUGACCUGUAUGGGAAUCUGAAUACGUUAGUGACUUACAUCCUAAGUUAGUAGUAAAGACGAAUAUGAUGGUCAAAAUUUGGAGUACGACAUAUGACAUUUUUUGACCAUCUAGAAUUAUGUAAGUAGAUUUUUAUUUUUCAACUAUAUGAUAUAGUUUAAAUCUUCAUUUGAAUACAGAUGAACAAAAUAUAACAUGAAAGACCAAGUUCUGAGACAUUACAGAGAUGUAUCUCCGUAAUAUUCACGAAGAUGCAUCGUUGAUCCAAUUUAUGUGUAUAAUGACUUUUUAGUGGAAUGUAUAGUAUAUUUUAAAUUGUAACAUAUAUAUAUAUAUAUAUAUAUAAUAUAUAUAUAUAUAAUAUUUUAAGAUUUAUUCAGAAUUUGGUGCGACCUGAAUCUUCAAAAACUAAAAACAUUUAAAUAAUUUCGCCUGGUGGAUAAAAAAACAUAAAUGAUACAUUAAGAAAUCCAAAAAAAAACUAGGAGACCAAAACAAUCAAACAAAUAAGGUCAAUUUAGUUAUCAUUAAAGUAAUAGUUACACCAAAAUCAUGCUUACAAAGAAGAAACUAAUCAUUUUUAGAUUACCUGCAUUGUAUAUCAUAUAAUUCUUUUUUUCAUUUAUUAGGAAUUGCCAACUGUGGAUAAAUAUGAGCCGUAUCUAUCUCUCCUUUCUUUUUAUCCCAUUUCAAUAAUGCUAGUUACAACGAAUGUUAUGUUUGUUAACAUGUGAUUAUAAUAAUACUGUUUGGUUUUUGAAAGAAUAUUAUCACUAUUUCUAAAAUAUUGUUUUCUAAAGACAAAAAUAAUAAAUUUGAAGUUAGGAUAAAUAUUCUUUAUGCAUUGGGAUGAGAAAUUUAUAACCGAUUAAUAUGCAACGGAAAUAAAAUUCAUCAAAUUUAUAAGAAUCUUAAAGGAUCAACAACAAAUAUAUGACAAUAAGUAAAACAACUAAAUAUACAAGGGAGUAUUGAAAUUUUAACGUGAAAAUUUCUCAAUGUGAAAUCGAAAAACCAUGGAUCGUCCGAACCAAAGAAAUAAGUCCACUUUAAUCAAGUAAGGGUAUAAGAGAGACUCAAAAGAUGCACAAACUAAUGCUAACAACAACCAAACAAGGAAGCAAAUUAGCUUACAUAUAAGAAGAAAGAAGCUGAAAAAACCAAAAAUGUCAAUUAUGUGUGAAGUCAAUAUCUUUUGGCUCAUACUUUUUUGACGAUCCAAUUGUCAAAAGGAAGACAUGUGUGUUGGAAACUUGCCCUCCAAAAAUGAGCUUGAUCCAACUAUUGACAAAUUCGGAAUCACUAUUUUAUUAAGGCUGGUUGCAAAAAAACAGGAAUUGGUCUCUCUCUCUCUCUCUCUCUCUCAACCCUAAAAUGAUCAUCUCCGCUUAGGAUAAGUGAGAUUUAAAUGGGCUAACAUUGUGUCUUUCUCCACAUAGGAAUGAACCCCAAACCAACCAAAUCUCCCCAUUACAACUAUGUAAAGGAAAUCAUCAAACCGAUGAUAUCACAACAAACUUCAUACUCCUCUCUUUGUAACACUUUAGUCAUCAUAUCAUAAUCAUUAUCAUUAUCAUCAUUAUGAAAUUUAGGUAACUUCAACAACUUAGUAUCCAAAACAACACGUAUCCGAUGAUACCUCACAUCAAUGUUUUUGGACCUGUUAUCAAAAGUAGAAUUCUUACACAAAUGAAUAAAACUUUGACUAACAACAAAUAACAUAUAUUUUUGUUGAACAAAUCCAAGCUGCUACAAAUAUUUCUUCAACCAUAACAACUCUUUUUAUGCUUCAGUAAUGACAAUGAACUAUUCCUCUGUAAUAGACAAUGUCACACACUUUUGCAAUCUAGAUUGCCAAGCCACAACCCUUUACAAAUUUAUGUUGGAACAAAAUUAUUCAUAUUCCUUGGAUUUUUGAUGAUAAAAAAUUACUUAAAUAACACUUGGGUAUACUAACAUAUGUUCAAGUAUGCAAAAACAUAAGCUUAAAAUUCAACUCAGAACUGACUCUGAUAAAAACGUAUGUAAAGAAGCUUAAAGACUCAAAUUCUGAAGGAUCGGAAUCUAAUGGCUUUGAAUGUGUAACUCAGCUUCUGGUGACAACUCAAGCUUUGAAUACCCCAACUCCGGGUCCGUACUCUGUCUCUAAAGCAGACUGAUCUUGUCAAAGCCAGAGUUUUGGAAAAAGUAAACUAGAGUUUCUUAGUCCAAGGCUAAAAAAAAGUUGACAUGAACUCUUAAGUCUGCCCCCAACAUCUUGGUAGAUACCUAGUAUGAGAAAGACAGAGUGGACAAAGUUAUUACACAAUGAAUGAGGAUCUUAAUAGGAUUGACUUCCAACACCUCUCUUGGAAAUACUUCUCACCAAAAAACACUUGUGCAAGUCAUCUUCGAAUGACUCUUUUUCUACCUUUAUAAAAAGGAGUUGAAGAUUUGAAUGAAGGUUACCCAACUAACGAAUAAAAAACGAACCAUAUAAAGAAGAACAACACUGAGCAUAACUUUGAACUAAAGUUUUUAUCUAUUUUCUGCACAAGUUCUUAAGAUUUCUAAUCUUUGUAUACCUUAGAAAUCUUAAGUGUUUAAGAAUCUUAUGUUUGUUGUAUCACUUCUAUAGCUAUGAUAUUACAUCAGGUAAAGUUGUUAUCUAUUCUUAUAAACUAUUUGUUUAGAGUAUAUGGAGUCUUUUACUGGUCUGGUUAAGCAGUGGAAGUCUCUUGAUAGUUUUCUUGAGCAGUGGAAGCCUUUUUUCAGUAUGCUUGAGUAGAAAUCCCUUGCUAGGUUGCUUGAGCAAAAGUCUCUUUCUAGUGUGAUUGAGCAAUUUCAGUCUCUUGCAUGUUUUCUUGAGAAAAGUGUAAUCGGUUUGAUUAUAGUGAAAGUAUCUUGUUGGACAAGGGGAACGUACUACUCUUAGUUUAGGAGAGGAACCAGAAUAACUCUGUGUGUUUCUUUACUUCUUGCUUCUGAAUACUAUUCAUUCCGCUGCUAACAACUCUGAGAUCAUAUUAUGAAUUUCUUCAAAUUCUGAAGUUGGUUUUUUAGAAGGAAAAAAGAAUUAACAUACACAAUUCAACCCCCCUUCUUGUGUAUUUUUCUCACCUUCAGUUGGCAUAACAACACGAUCUAUGCUAAACACUUAAUAGUGGUACAUAAAAGGUCCCGAGAAAAAUACAUUUUCUAUCAUGUCUGAUGGUCCUAAAAUAACUAGUCCUGACGGUGGUACUCCUCAUGGUAAUAAUAACCAUGAUCAAAGUACAUUUGAUAAAAACAAUUAUAUUUCUAGACCACCAACAUUCAGUGGUAACUCUAUUGAGUUUAAUUGGUGGAAAAUAAAAAUAUGCACUCAUAUCAUAGGGCUUGAUUAUGAGUUAUGGGAUAUUCUUGAAGGUGGAAUCAACCUUGAAGUUGAUGGAGUAGGUAUGGUGACUGAUAGAAAGAAUCUCACAGCUGCUCAGAAAAAGGUUUAUAGAAAGCAUCAUAGAGUGAGGGGUAUUUUGGUGGAAUAUCUACCUCACUCAUAGUACAUAAAGAUCAUUAAUAAAUCAAUUGUCAAAACCAUCUUUGAAUCUUUAUGAGCCACUUAUGAAGGGAAUCAGCAAGUCAAAGAAGCUAAGGCUAAUUUGUUGGUUCAACAAUAUGAAAUGUUCAGGAUGGAAAAUGAUGAGAGUAUUGAAACCAUGUUUCUGAGGUUUUAAAUACUUGUGUAUGGGCUUCAGGUUCUGGAAAAAAUCUACGUCGUGUAUGAUCAUGUCAAGAAUAUUCUUAGGAGUCUACUUGUCAGAUACAGACCAAAGGUGACAACUAUUUAGGAAGCAAAAGACUCGAAUAAUAUCAACCUUCAAAGUCUGAUAAGUAAUCUCCAAAGUCACGAGUUAGAAAUCAAUGGAGAUGAAGAACCAAUCAAGAAAUCAAAGUCUCUGGCUUUGAAAUCUAUUGGGAGGUCUGAGAAAUCUUCUCAGGCUUAGGAGCACAAUGAAGCCACUCAUGAUGAAGCUUAUGGUGAAGAUUCUGAGGAUGAUGAAAUGGCAUUCAUCGUAAAAAGAUUUCAGUAUAUUGAUAACAAAAACAUGAGGGUCUUUGGUAAAAGAAUUGGUUUCAAAGGAACAAGCUCCAGAUAAAACAAGGAUGAUCAGAAAGGAUGCUUCAAUUAUCAUAAGCCUGGUCAUUUCAUUGUUGAUUAUUCCGAUCUUCAUAAGGACAAAGCUAAAAAGGAUAACUUCUAGAAGAAUAACUUCAGAAGUAAAUUCAAGAAAAGUAUCAUGGCAAUAUGGGAUGAACUCGAUGACAAAGAAGAAGCUGACAAGAGUAAAGAAGAAGUCAGCCUAGCUUUGGUUGCUUCAACAUUCUAAUAUUCAGAAUCAGAAGCUGGUUUUGACUCAGAUUCAGAGGAUACAAAAGAUGUAUUUUCUAAACUCUCUAAAUAUGAUUUAAUUACUUUGUUUCAAUAUCUUAUCAAAAGAUGCCAAUGGAAAGCUAGACAUAUGAACAUUAUAAAGAAACAAUAUGGUCUUAUAAAAUAUGAACUAAACUUCUCUAAAGACAAGAUUGAAAAACUUGAAAGAGAUCAGAUUUCUUUAAUAAAAGAUAUGUCUAACAAAACUCUUGAUAAAUCUGCAUUAGUUCUUUAAGAGUUUGUCAUAUAUGACUUUAACAGAACAAAACUUUCAUCCAUGAUCUAUUGUGUAAUUAGAAGCAAAAGAGAAGGUAUUGGAUAUCAUCAAAAACCAUAUAAUCCAAGGACUGAAAUCUUGAUGAAACUAUCAAAUCCUUUUUCUUCAAGUUAUGCUCAAAAAGGGCUGAACUCUCAUUUUGUGUCUGCUAGUAAAGUAAAGGGUUCAAACCAAACAGAAUAUAUAACUGCAUAAACAGAGGCUCUAAAAGAUUCAGAGUCUGAGAUCCCAAGAUCAAAGAUCCUGAAGAAAUCAGAACCAAUGACUCUAAAAUCAAAGGUUCUAAAAGAAUCAGAACCUGGAACAUCAAAGUGAAAGGUUCGAAAGAAGCUAGAACCUAGGACAUCAGGUUACAUGGUUCUGAAAGGUCCAGAACCUAAGACUAUGAAUCAUUCAAGACAACAUACUUCAAAAUAUAAAGUCUUGAAUGAUCCAAAGACUUAUUACAAAGCUAAGGACCAAAAUAAGAACGGAAUAUCAUAGCUAACACUAAAGGACCCAUAAAAGUAUGGGUACCUAAGAAUGAUAUUAUUUUUAUUGUAGAUAUGCUGAAGAACAAAGCAACAAUCUUAGUUCCAUGACAGUGGCUGCUUACAACUUACAACAAGAAAAAUGCCUAUAUUCCAAAUCCCAACUCAAAAGGAGGGAGAAAAUGUGGAUUUUGGAAGUAAACAAUAAAAAAACAUCAUUGGUACUGGGAGGACUAAAUUUAAUCAAUCAUAAGUUGAAGAGUAUUGUUGGAACAAUGUAGCUCCUCAAGAAAAAUCUCAAUAGCAGAUCUGAAGUUGCACAUAGAAAGGCAUGGCUAUCUCUGUGCUUUUAUGCAACCAUUUAUAAUCCUAACAUUUUAUAUAUAGGUCAGAAGAGCUUCAUAUUUAUGAAAGAAGAAUUACACUUCACUGUGAUAAUUAUGCUUCUAUUAAAAUGGCAAAGAAUCUUAUUCUAUAUCAGAGUCAAGCAUCUUAAUUUUUAAAAAAAUUGUCCUUACAUCUGAUUGGAGAAGCAAAGUCUGAUGGUGUCUAGAAGCUACUAUGAUCAGAAGAUCUGAACCAACUUCUGAUGAAUAAUAGCCUUUGAAGUCUCUCAGCCUCUAAAACUCAGAAUAAGGUAACUGCCUUUGAUACGCAGGCAAGUGUACAAAACUGUUUUACAACCUUUGUCACCUGUCCUCUUAUGUGUCAUAAAUCUGAAAUAUCUUAUGACACAUGAAUUGUAAAUGUUGGCUAAAAACUCCUCAAAUCAAGACAUUUUUUUCAAUCAAAAUACUAUACUUAUAUUAGACACACACACUUCUCUCUCUCUCUCUCUCACACACACACACACCUACACACACACACACACACACACACACACACACACAUACACACACACACACACACACACACACACACAAACACACACACACACACACACACUCACUUCUCACACUUUUAUAUUCUCAAAAUGUCCUCUAAAAAAUAACCCAUUUCAAAAAGGAAACCCUAGAAACCUUAAAGCUCCUUCUACAAUGGCAUCUCCAUCAUCCGCUCAAUUUACACACAUGAUAGUCGAAUUUGGAAAGAGUCUGACUAUCAAACCUAAAACCAUGAAUAUCAAUUAGGAGGAUCUAAAGUGGUUAGUGGAAUAGUUUUUUGAUUUUGAAUCCUUCAAUCAGAGUGGGAAUGACCUAUGGAGUUUCUUUAGAGUACAAGAGUGGUCUUUAUUUUUUAAUAUGCUAAAUGGACCAACUUACCCUCAUCUGGUAAGGGAUUUAUGGGUUAAGGUUGAAGUUUAUAGCAAACUUUCUGCAUAUAUGGAACAAAAUCUGAUGGUACAGAAUGACAAAUCCUUGAAAGGGGGAAGUAUAGAGGAAAUAGGUAUGAAGAAGUGGAUAUUAGGUUAGCAGUGAUGAGUGUUGAUGUAACCAUCACUCAGAAGACUAUUUCGAAGCUUCUGAAAGUAACAAACACUAGAAGGUUCAUUUUGAACACAAAAGUAAAUAGUCCUGAAGCUGAAGCCACUAAAAGAUGUUUAUUUGAGCUCUAUAGAGAUAGGUGUUCUUCAGACUUUGGAAAGGUGAGGAACAUGAAGAAAAAUUUCAAGCUUGUGUUCAAAGUUCUUAUUGGUUGUCUGAUCCCUAGAGAAGUCAACACUGAUCAAAUCUCAUGGGAUCAUAAGCACUUCAUUUUCUACUUGGUAAAUGAAGAUAAGAUAAAUCUCCCUGCCUACAUCUUCCAUCAUCCAUAUGAGGCUAUCAAGGAUAGCAAGAAGCACAAUAAGAAGAAUGUGCCAUAGGCUAGACUUUUGUCUGAAAUGUUUUAUCAGGUUGUCUGAUUAAUGCCCUUAAAAUUGUUCCUGAUAAUGAGUAUCUAAAGAAGAUCCAUGGGAAAAUUAUUUCUGAUUAUGUUCUACCCAACAUGAAGCUUCUGAAGAAGAGUGGAGUGGUGGUAUCUAAAGAGCCUUUUAGAGUUAGAUGUACAAGUAUUGAUUAUCUUAAGGAUUAUCCUGUCAUUACCAAGCAGGACAAUCCUGAUGUAAUCAGAAUAUACAUUCAAAUGGAAAGAGAAGAAGGUAUGGUUCUGAGAUAUAAAUACUUGCCAAAUGAACAUGUUUAUAUGUACAAAUAUUCUAAGAAGAGAAAACAGGUUGCUUUAUACUCAGGAGGAUAUUCAUAAGCCUUAUGAGAAGAAGGUUGUGCAACAGAAGGAGAUUGAGAAAGAAGUUGAAAAGGUUAUUGUGUCCACUGUCUUAAUGCCCUAUAAGACAAGAAGUGGAAGAAUUCCUAAGAAGGUAUCUUCUUCUUCUAUCUCAUAUGAUGCACCUAUAAGGAUGAAGAAGUUAAAGAAGAUGCGUGUUCCUGAUGAAAUUGAAGAGGAAGAGAAAGAAGAGGAAUCUAGGGUAUCCUUAUCAGAAGGAAGAAGAUUGCAGAUGUUGAAGCCCAGAAUAGUGUAGUAGAACCUGUUUUUAGGGGAGCUCAACUCUUAACCUAUGAUUUGUUGGAACAAGUAGAGAAGCAUCAUGCAACUUCUGAUUCUCUAUUAGAAGAAAUUGUUGUUGUUAGUGAUGUUUUGGAGACUACUGAGGUCCAAGUUGCUGAAGUCAUAACUAUUUUAAAGUCUGUUGAGAAGACCGUUAAAGCUGGAGCUUUUGGUGUACCUAAAAAAGUUGUAUCAAAAGUUGUUGCCUACCUUGAUUCUGAAGUUGUUGAUGAAGAGAAUCAAGCUACUCUAGAUUAUAUGGAGACUGAUAUGACAAGUAGAAAUCUAAGCUCUAUCUUGAAAGAUUAUUUUGAUUAUUCCACCUAAAAUCACAAAUAACCAUCACCUUCACUCAAUCCCUCACCCGACCCAUCUCCAAAACACACUUUAUGACCUGUUCAACAAUCAAAACCUGUGGCAGAGUCUUCUGAACCAACUUCCAUCAAUCAAAUUCUAUAAAAAGCUAUGAAUUUACCUGAUUCUAAAUAGAGUGCUUGUGAAUCCACUAAUAACAUACUUUUCUGCUUCUAAACAACUAACACCUUUGAACAUCAUGCUUGAACCACCCAUAGAUGUUUCUAGUGGGAAAGAUUCUUCUAGUUUUGAGUUAGAAAUUGAUAAAGUUGAGUUCAAUGCUCGUGUUGGCCUCAAACCUGUGAUCCUUUCAUCUAUUUUUAUCAGACUUGUCCAAGCCAUCCCUCUUCAAACCUUCUCCCCUAAAGACCUACCAAAUGACCAAACAUGUUAUGCUUAUGAACAAAACAAUUUAUAUGUUCAAGAUAAAGAUGAACAUGUAACCCUUAUUCAACUGACACCUCAACCAUCACCCAAAACUACACCUUAAAAAGAACCUAGUCAUGUUCAGACUCAAUCCCAAGUUCAAGUUGCAUCUAAACCUCAAAUUGAGGUUGAAUAAAUUGUUCAAGAUCAAUCUCAAGUUCAAACUACAUCAGAACCUCAAAUUGAAACGGAACAAGAAUAUUUUGACCUACUUCAUCCAUAAUCUUCUUUAAGCCUGACUAUCCAAGAAAACUAACCUUUUGGCCAUUCACAAACUAAUAUUCCACUUCUUCUGCCUUUUAUCCAAGCCAAUUUGGAAGAAAUAAAAACUAUUUUCCUUGAUAAAAUGCAUAAUCUGGUUGAUGAGAGAACCAUAACUUCUGGCCCAGUAGCUUAUGUUUCUAAAUGGGCUUUCCUCACAACCUUUGUAGGAUCAGUCUUUCAAGAUCUGAAGAAUGUCUCUUUAGAGUCUUUUGCCUCUACUAGUAAGAGACAAGAACUUGUGGAGGCAAGCUGGCCUUUGUUGCUACUUAUCAAGAAGCUAUAGCUAUCAAGCUGACAUAGAUGGAUGAUAUGAUGAAGUCUAUGGAUUCCAUACAAGAUAUCAUGGGUGCUGAUCUGAAAUCUUGUUUUGGAGCUUCUGAAGAAACCCCAGGCUUAUGAUUUAGAACCUAUUUUUUAUCCUCUUAACUAGUCUUCUUUUAUGCUAAAAUAAACUUUUUACUUGAAAUUAAUUUAUUAUGUCGUUAGUUUUAUUUACUCAUGUAUUUUAAACACUGAGCUAUACUUAUUGAGAAUUUUUAUAUCUUCUAGUAAAAUAAAAAAGAAUUAUGCUCUCCCUAUUUUUUAUUUACUUUGGGCUUAAUUGGCUGGAAUGUUUAUGAAACUUCUCUAACAUUGGAUCAUUCAAAAGGAAUCAAGAAACCUAAUAAAAAGUAUUAUUGCAAAAAGAGAAAGUGACUAAUAUAUCAUUAAGUAUUGAAAAAGAUUAAAAGACGGUUGUUCUACAAUAUUUUAUCUAAAUCAUCGCUAUAUCCUUGAGCAAUGAAAGUGGUUUCCCAGUCUAUAUCUGGAUUUUCAUCUCCAUCUUAAUCAAAGUAGACGAUUUUCUUUGGAACCUUCUUCUUCUUCAUGAGUUUCUUCUUCUUCUUUGAGGUAUUCCUCAUCUUGAGUGCCUCCUUGAAAGUGUUUGACACAUAAGAUUGGGCUUCUUCACUUCUCAGUUGUUAGUGCUCCAUGGUUGUGUUGGUCUCAUUCGCCAAAGUUGUCUCAGAAGAAACAAAGACUUUGGUACCUUCAGAAGGAGUGCUCAUUUUGUUAAGAAGAGAAAUAGUUGGAUGAAGAUGUGAGAUUUCAACCUAUGAACUAUAGAGGAUCUUGAGUGUCUCAUACGUUGCUUGUGGAAGUUUAAUAAUUUAUGAUGUUUAAUUGCAAUGAUUACUUAUGAUGUUUCUAAUUCAUAGAAGCUGAAAGGCGUGUAUUUGACCGUCUUGAGAAGCGAAGACACUUUUUCCAACCAAUUUAGUCAUUUUUCUUUCUUUUGAUAAAUGUGAUUCAAUUUUUGGGAAGUGCAAGAAUUGUUUUUAUUUAUUUUUAUCAGAAUUUAAAUUUUUCCACAAUUUUUUUCUUUUCUUCAAUAUCUUUUCUUCCUUUGUGCUAUCCUUUUUUAAUUAACUUUUUGCUAGUGAGAAAAGGAAGAGAAAAUAAUGGAGGGGGGGUUACAAACUUCAGACUUUGAUGUUAUCAAGUUAGUUAAAAUAAUCAACCAUUAUUCUUAAAUACCUUUGUUUUUCAUCAUCAAAAAGGGGGAGAUUCUUGGAAAAAAUUGUUCAUAUCCCUUGGAUUUUGAUGAUAACAAAGUACUUAAAGAAUAUUUGGUUAUACUAACAUAUAUUCAAGUAUGCAGGAUCAUAACAAUUUAACUCAUAACUCACCCUUAUAAAGGCAUAUGUAGAGAAGCUUAAAGACUCAGAUUCUAAAGGAUCGGAAUCGGAUGAUUCUAAAGAUGGUAUUUCAUCUCCCGGUGACAACUCAGACUCUGAAGACCUCAGCUUCUGAUCUGUACUUUGUCUCCAAAGCAGACCGAUCUUGUCAAAGUCACACUUUUUGAAAAAGUCAACUGGAGUUUCUUAGUGCAAGGCUUAAGGAAAAGUUGACGUGGCCUCUUAAGUCUGCCCUCUCAUCUUGGUAGAUACCUAGUAUAGGAAACACGCAGUGGACAAAGUUAUUACACAAUGGAUGGAGAUCUUAAUAGGAUUGACUUCCAAUGUGUCUCUUGGAAAUGCUUCUCAAUAAAGAAAACUUGUGCAAGUCAUCUUCCAACGAUUCUUUUCUUGCCUCUAUAAGAAUGAGUUGAAGAUUUGAAGGAAGGAUACCCAACUAAUGAAUAAUGAACGAAGCAUCUAAAGAAGAACAACAUUGAUCACAACUUUAAGCUAAACUUUUCAUCUGUUUUCUGCACAAGUUAUUAAGAUUUCUUAUUUUGUAUAUCUAAAAACUCUUAACUGUUUACGAAUCUUCUGUGUGUUGUAUCACUUCUAUACCUCUGGUUUUACAUAAAGUAUAAUUGUUACCUAUUCUCCUAAACUAUUUGUAAGGAAGUCUCUUAUUGGGUUUCUUGAGCAGUGAAAGUCUCUUGCUAGUUUGCUUGAGCAGUGGAAGCCUAUUGCAUGUGUGCUUGAGAAGAAGUCUGUUUCUAGGUUGCUUUAGCAUAAGUCUCUUUCUAGUGUGAUUGAGCCGUUAAAAUCACUUGCCAGUUUGUUUGAGAAAAGUAUAAUCAAUUUGAUUAUAUUGAAAAUCUCUUGUUGGACAAGGUGAUUGGACCACUCUCAGUUUAGGAGAGGAACCAUGAUAACUCUGUGUGUUGCUUUACUUCUUGCUUAUGAAUAUUAUUCAUUCUGCUGCUAAUAACUCUGUUAUUAGAUUUGGGACUUGGUCAUAUUCUGAAGUUGGUUUUUCAAAAGGUAAAAAUAAUUAACAUACACAAUUCAACCACUUUUUCUUGUGUAUUUUCCUCAUCUUCAAUUUAAUCAUGUAGUUUGACGUGGACUUCUUGGAUUCAAUGUCUCCAGUCAUUUUUGAUUCAGCGUACUCAUUUACGGUAAACUUAUCCCCUCUAAAGCAAAGCCUCAUAUAAAUAGACAUGGAAAUGGGGCAUGUCAAGGACGAUUUUUCCCUUCCUAAACCCAAACCUAAAUCUCCAAACAAUCUCUGUUCUCCGUUUUCCGCCCCAAUGGAGAUGAAGAAUUAAAACUCAAAGCAGUUUCAAACAGGUCUCGGUAUGAAAUGUAGUUAUUUAUACUUAGUUAUUUAUACUUAUUUGUGAGACUUGUUUAAAACAUUUUAGCUUAAAUAUAUUUUUCUAGAACUGCUUUAAUAUAUUUUAAAUAUAUUGUGGUGCUACUCUCUAACAAUAAUAGUUCAUUGUAUAGUCUACCGUGAAAACAUCCUGCAGAUGCCUCCAAUAGACAAAGAAUAGGAGGAUGUAGCUGCAAGGUUACCACUGCACAAGUUAAUGGAAUAAAGAAAAUAAAUUUGGAAGUGUGUAAUAAAUUGUUCCUUUGUGUGACAGAUAGUCACACUUAUAUAAAUGACAGUUACAAUUGUCCUUGAAAAUUCAAUGCGCUGUGUAACGGAUUGUUGAAUGGAUACCAAACUCAAAAGAGUUCUGAUAUGAAGUAUCGUGUCUCUUGAAAGAGUUCUCCAACAACAGAUGUACUCUCCAAAUAAUAAAUUUAUAUAAAAGAAAAAAAAAA
rnacentral:lncRNA from 1 species